rnacentral:rRNA from 1 species
GUGGGGAAUUUUGGACAAUGGGCGCAAGCCUGAUCCAGCAAUGCCGCGUGCAGGAAGAAGGCCUUCGGGUUGUAAACUGCUUUUGUACGGAACGAAACGGUCCGGGUUAAUACCCUGGGCUAAUGACGGUACCGUAAGAAUAAGCACCGGCUAACUACGUGCCAGCAGCCGCGGUAAUACGUAGGGUGCAAGCGUUAAUCGGAAUUACUGGGCGUAAAGCGUGCGCAGGCGGUUUUGUAAGACAGGCGUGAAAUCCCCGGGCUCAACCUGGGAAUUGCGCUUGUUACUGCAAGGCUGGAGUGCGGCAGAGGGGGAUGGAAUUCCGCGUGUAGCAGUGAAAUGCGUAGAUAUGCGGAGGAACACCGAUGGCGAAGGCAAUCCCCUGGGCCUGCACUGACGCUCAUGCACGAAAGCGUGGGGAGCAAACAGGAUUAGAUACCCCGGUAGUCC